AGUGAACGCUGGCGGCAGGCCUAAUACAUGCAAGUCGAACGGCAGCACAGCAGAGCUUGCUCUGUGGGUGGCGAGUGGCGGACGGGUGAGGAAUACAUGGGAAUCUGCCCAGUCGUGGGGGAUAACGUAUGGAAACGUACGCUAAUACCGCAUGCGCCCUACGGGGGAAAGCCGGGGACCGCAAGGCCUGGCGCGAUUGGAUGAGCCCAUGUUCGAUUAGCUAGUUGGCGGGGUAAAGGCCCACCAAGGCGACGAUCGAUAGCUGGUCUGAGAGGAUGAUCAGCCACACUGGAACUGAGACACGGUCCAGACUCCUACGGGAGGCAGCAGUAGGGAAUAUUGGACAAUGGGGGCAACCCUGAUCCAGCCAUGCCGCGUGAGUGAAGAAGGCCCUCGGGUUGUAAAGCUCUUUGUCCGGAAAGAAAGCAAUCGGUUAAUACCCGGUUGUUCUGACGGUACCGGAAGAAUAAGCACCGGCUAACUUCGUGCC
rnacentral:rRNA from 1 species